AGAAACGUUUGUAGUUGAUGGUACUUUAAAAUUUUUUUUAGUUGAAAAAUAAGUGCGUAAUGCGUUUUAUUUUAAUGAAUUCUGGUCCAGAAUCGUUUGUAGUU